rnacentral:tRNA from 1 species
AAAACUUUAAGUUAAUAAAACUAAUAAUCUUCAAAAUUAUUUUUAAAGAACUUUUUCUUUAAGUUUUA